UACGUAGGGUGCAAGCGUUGUCCGGAAUUAUUGGGCGUAAAGAGCUCGUAGGCGGUCUGUCGCGUCUGCUGUGAAAAUCCGGGGCUCAACCCCGGACUUGCAGUGGGUACGGGCAGACUAGAGUGUGGUAGGGGAGACUGGAAUUCCUGGUGUAGCGGUGAAAUGCGCAGAUAUCAGGAGGAACACCGGUGGCGAAGGCGGGUCUCUGGGCCGUAACUGACGCUGAGGAGCGAAAGCGUGGGGAGCGAACAGG
rnacentral:rRNA from 1 species